AGUGAACGCUGGCGGUAGGCCUAACACAUGCAAGUCGAACGGCAGCACAGUAAGAGCUUGCUCUUACGGGUGGCGAGUGGCGGACGGGUGAGGAAUACAUCGGAAUCUACUUUUUCGUGGGGGAUAACGUAGGGAAACUUACGCUAAUACCGCAUACGACCUACGGGUGAAAGCAGGGGAUCUUCGGACCUUGCGCGAUUGAAUGAGCCGAUGUCGGAUUAGCUAGUUGGCGGGGUAAAGGCCCACCAAGGCGACGAUCCGUAGCUGGUCUGAGAGGAUGAUCAGCCACGCUGGAACUGAGACACGGUCCAGACUCCUACGGGAGGCAGCAGUGGGGAAUAUUGGACAAUGGGCGCAAGCCUGAUCCAGCCAUACCGCGUGGGUGAAGAAGGCCUCCGGGUUGUAAAGCCCCUUUGUUGGGAAAGAAAAGCAGCAGGUUAAUACCCCGCUGUUCUGACGGUACCCAAAGAAUAAGCACCGGCUAACUUCGUG
rnacentral:rRNA from 1 species